UUGAGGAGCUGCUCCUGGAUGCAGACUGGAGUGUGAACGCAGGCAGCUGGAUGUGGGCUCUCCUGCAGCUCCUUCUCCCAGCAGUUCUUCCACUGCUACUGUCCUGUGGGCUUCGGCCGGAGGACUGACCCCAGCGGAGACUACAUUAGACUCGUCCUCUCACUCCGGACAGUAAGACCGGACGCUAGCGGGACCCUCACCCCCGGGGAAGAGGGGCCACGGCUCCAACCUGCUGGAGCUAACAGAGUGGGGCACCCAGGCCAAGGUCCAUUGCUGCAGCUCAGCCCCAGCUCAGCCCUUACUAGCAGACGACUGUUGACGCACCUGGACUCAACGCUGAUUGGAGGGAGAGCCCUCCACACACAGCCCUGCGAACCAGUAACAAAGACCUUUUUAACACCAUCGUACCGACCCAAACUGCUGGCUCUGAGCACAUUGUCCUUUUCAGCAUGGUGCCAUCAAAUCUGGUGUGUUCAUGACCAGGCCAGCUCAGUACAGCUUGGUUGGUAUCGGCCCAGUUCGGGUCAGUAGUGUGAAAAGCCUGUAACAGUGCUGUUGUUCCCAGUCCCAUAUGGAGGUAAUCUGCUAUUGUGCCUGCAGUAUAAAUGAAGGAAAGGGUCAAAUAUAAACCAUAUUCAUUCAUCUGUGUUUUACUAACUACGCAGUUAAAUUUAUCCACAAGUUCUAUCAAUAAGUUCUGAUGUGAAAUGAUUUGUUUAUUGAUCUGUCAAAUAGCACAAGGGAUUGUGCCGAGUAUAGCAAUUAAUUGUUAUAAUCAUAUCAAUGGAUCUUCACAGAGGCACGUAUAGAGUUUAUUAUAUAUAUUUGCUAUAAUAAACUAUCUUUAGAUAUGUCUCUGGUUCCAUCAUUGCUUCAAUGCUAAAGAGUCACUGUGUUUGCAUGACAAAUGAGUCAAAACUAAUCUCAUGAGUCUGUUUCAGCAGUCUGUGCUGUCGUCCGAUGUGACCCCAAGUCACUCUGUCAUAUAUUUACCCCAAGUCACUCUGUCAUAUAUUUACCCCAAGUCACUCUGUCAUAUAUUUACCCCAAGUCACUCUGUCAUAUAUUUACCCCAAGUCACUCUGUCAUAUAUUUACCCCAAGUCACUCUGUCAUAUAUUUACCCCAAGUCACUCUGUCAUAUAUUUACCCCAAGUCA